rnacentral:rRNA from 1 species
ACUCCUACGGGAGGCAGCAGUGGGGAAUAUUGCACAAUGGGCGCAAGCCUGAUGCAGCAACGCCGCGUGAGCGAAGAAGGUCUUCGGAUCGUAAAGCUCUUUUUCUUAGGGAAGAAAACUGACGGUACCUAAGGAAUAAGCACCGGCUAAAUACGUGCCAGCAGCCGCGGUAAUACGUAUGGUGCAAGCGUUAUCCGGAAUCACUGGGCGUAAAGGGUGCGUAGGCGGUUUUUGCAAGUCAGAAGUGAAAGGCUACGGCUCAACCGUAGUAAGCUUUUGAAACUGCAAGACUAGAGUGCAGGAGAGGAAAGUGGAAUUCCUAGUGUAGAGGUGAAAUUCGUAGAUAUUAGGAGGAACACCAGUGGCGAAGGCGACUUUCUGGACUGUAACUGACGCUGAUGCACGAAAG